rnacentral:misc_RNA from 1 species
AGUACUCGUACUUCACUGUUAAUUAAGUCUCGUAAAGACUCUGAGAGUUAUAAAGUGUGAGGUGUACAGUACAGAACAAGAAUUACAGACCUACUAGAUCGGCGAAACCGCAUUUAUGAGGACUCGGACUCCAGGAAGCCUUACGCUUGUCACCAGUUUGACCUUAAUGUGACCCAGUCUUACUUGGCCGAUCAUGACGUCAUGAACGUGACCUCGCUGGAGCAACUGCCCGAACCUAUCGCAGCCUGUGUCGACGGUUGGAAGUAUGAGUUCGAUCGCAUGUUCUCAUCUUACACCUCAGAGCACAACUGGGUGUGUGAGGACGCCUGGCGACCCUACAUAGUGGUAACGAUGUUCUGGACUGGCAACACUGUCGACUCUUGGCUCUGGGGCGUCGCUUCUGAUAUGUGAGUCUCUCUUCCAGGUUAUGUCAGUUCAGUGUAAGUUAAUUCAUGUCAGUCCCAAAUAUAUCAAGUCAGCACGAGUCAUGUCGGGUCAACACAGGUUAUGCCAGGACAGUAUAGGUCAUCUAAUAUGAACAAAAAUCAUGUCAGGUCAGCUCAAAUCAUGUCACUUGAGGUCAACACAAGCCACUCUAGAUCAUCACAGACCAUACGAGAAUAAGAUAAAGACACACUAGGUGCUAGGACAACAUAGCUCACCAUAGGUAGGUAAUGGGUCAUCACAGGUAAAAGAGCCAUAACCCCGACAGGUGUGGAGUACUGGUGUAGUAU